CGACUAUCCAAGGGCCUCGGGACAGACGCAGCUCUCUUUGGCUGAUUCAUCCCAAGGCCCACUUCCCUUUGGCCCUAAUUGGGAUGAGUUUACGGCAUAGAACAUGAACUUACAUGUUCUUCUGUUUUGUGGAGUGGAGGAGGGAAGCUUGAAACAUCUAGGAGAGUGCCUGUUGUGGAAUAGCCACAACCUAGGUUCGUGCCAUUCUAGGACACAGGCACAGAACUGAUUCACAUGGCUGUCUCUGAGACCCAGAUCCAUGGUACAAUGCCCACUGAGCUCCUGAACUCUCAGGCCCAUCCCUGUGUGAGCCAGCAGACUAGUAACUUCCUCCCUAAGACAGAAGACAAUACCUGGACCUGAGGGUGCGUGAGGAUGGAGACAACCUUCCUUGGAAAAGCCAUGGAGACGAUGGGUCAGAGGCAUGUGGUCCAGGGCAACGAGACACUGUGUAGAGAAGUGGACAAUGAGAGCUGAUGGGUUUCCAACACCAACCGGCACUGACCCCUGAGCAUUCCACCCUAGGCUGAAGCUCAUUAGACCCAGGAAGUAAGGCUGGUGAACAACUCUACACGUUCAAGAGGUCCUUUCCCUCCCCAGGGUUAUAAAAACAGUAACAACAGCAGAGACGGGAACCUCUGACCUGUGGAGCUAUCUGCAAGAUGUGCAGUGAGCUCUGUGCUUCCAGCUAUAUUGAGAUGUCAGCUGUGCUGGGGUGGCCUUUGGUGAUGCAGCUGCCUUUGAGUCACUUCUCUUCUUGUCACUCUUCACCCAUAAUCCUUUAAGACCCCAAUAAAUUCAUUGAUU
rnacentral:lncRNA from 1 species